UCACAGAAUAACAUUCGAGAAUGAGACUUGGGAUGAGGGGCCGGCCGCCGCACCCCCAGCAGAGUCAGCCCAGGGCCGGGCAGCAACCUCCGCCGCCCGCGACCCCCGGAGAGGGUCGGCCGAAAUGAAGCGCGCUGGCCUCAGACCCGGCCAGUGAGCGGGAGCACCGCCGCGCUCCCCCUUGGCGCGUCCUGCGGCACCAGCGGCAUGGAGAAGGCCACGCGCGUGGGGCUCUGAUCCCGCGCCCACGCCCACACCCCACCAUGACUGGCUCGGCGGCCGACACUCACCGCUGCCCCCACCCCAAAGGCGCCAAAGGCACCCGGUCCCGGAGCAGCCACGCGCGGCCCGUGAGCCUCGCCACCAGCGGGGGCUCGGAGGAAGAGGACAGAGACGGUGGGGUGCUGUUCCACGUGAACAAGAGCGGCUUCCCCAUGGACAGCCACACCUGGGAGCGCAUGUGGAUGCACGUGGCCAAGGUGCACCCCAAGGGCGGAGAGGUGGUGGGGGCCAUCCGGGACGCCACCUUUUUGGCAAAGCCUUCAAUACCCCAGGUCCCAAACUACAGGCUGUCCAUGACGAUCCCAGACUGGCUCCAGGCGAUCCAGAAUUACAUGAAGACGCUACAAUAUAAUCACACGGGGACCCAGUUCUUUGAAAUUAGGAAAAUGAGACCACUGAGCGGGUUAAUGGAAACAGCGAAGGAAAUGACCCGAGAGUCCUUGCCUAUCAAAUGCCUUGAAGCUGUCAUCCUGGGCAUAUACUUAACCAAUGGGCAGCCCUCUGUUGAGCGAUUCCCCAUCAGCUUUAAAACCUACUUCUCAGGAAAUUACUUUCACCACGUUGUGCUGGGAAUAUACUGCAAUGGCCGGUAUGGCUCACUGGGCAUGAGCCGAAGGGCUGAGCUGAUGGACAAGCCACUGACCUUUCGGACUCUCAGUGACCUUGUCUUUGACUUUGAAGACUCCUACAAGAAGUACCUGCACACAGUCAAGAAGGUCAAGAUUGGGCUCUGUGUCCCCCAUGAGCCUCAUAGCUUCCAACCCAUCGAAUGGAAGCAGCUGGUUCUCAAUGUCUCAAAGAUGCUGAGGGCCGACAUAAGGAAGGAGCUGGAGAAAUAUGCCAGGGACUUGAGGAUGAAGAUCUUGAAGCCUUCGAGUGCCCAUUCUCCGACCCAGGUGAGAAGCCGGGGGAAAUCCCUGUCGCCUCGAAGGAGACCGGCAAGUCCCCCGAGAAGGUUCGCCAGGCGAGACAAGUCGCCUGGAAUAUUAGCUCCCCAUCAACAAGAACUGAGAACUUUGUAAUCCCGAGGCAGGAGAUGGCAAGUGUGAGGCUUGCCUGGGCAAUUUAGCAAGUCCUUGUCUCACAACUUAAAAGGGGGGAGAAGUUGACUCAGUUUGAAGGCCCACGCAUCAGUCCCUCAUACUGAAGAAAAAGAAAAACUGAAAAACCUCUCUGCGAAUGCCUGCCCUGGCUGAGAAGAAGGUGGAUCUCAGCACCCUGAAUGAAGUGGGUUAUCAGAUCCGAAUCUAGUCAAGCCACAGUGGCCAGCAAGAGGGUUUUGUGGUGCUUCACUCUGCACUUUACCCAGCAUCUUCAGGAGGAACUGCAAGUAUUUAUUAAGAACCUGUGAAAUUUAUUUCUAAGGAUUCACCUGGAAAUAGAAUCUGAGUGGGUGGGAACAAUUAGCUUUAAAACUCCCGAAGAGGCAACCAUGAAAAGGCUAAAGAAUAAACCCCACCGAGGUUGGACCGUCUCCCUCACUCCAGAUCUCAAGGAUAACAAACAUUAACUGUAGUUUUAUACUUUUUCAUUUACUUUCUUUUACUUGCUUUGAACAUUAUGCCUCACCAAUAGCAAAUGUCAUGAAGUCCUUUCUCCCACUUUUGGUAUAGUAAGAUCAGUCAGUAUUAGUCUUUCUCAGCAAUAACAGAAGCAAAGAUGGGUGGGUUUUUCUUAAGCAGUUAAUAUUACCUCAGCAUUUUUACAUCAGAUAUGCAAACUUAAUGGCGUUUUGGUUUUUUAUAUUCUAUUUGUAUUGUUUCCCUACUGUUUCCCAUGGGGAUUUUCACAAGUUUGGAGUAUUUUCCUGGUGCACACACGUGAUGAGAUUUAAGGUAUUAUAUGCAAGUUUUACAAAACACUGAAAUUCUUUUGGCAAUACGGGAAACCAUUUUUAGGAUCUUGGAGUUUCUUACUCUUUUUUAAAGCAUUCACUGACGGCAAUUUCUGUUCUUAAAAAACAAGCACAUUUGGAGGCUAGUCUGUGUUCUGUCACUAACAUUUAAACUUUGCAAAGUCCAGCAGAAAGCACAAGAGGUCACACACUUAUUAUGCAGGCUCAGCAGUGUAGUGAUUACCUCGGACAUAGACACAGAAAGGCAGAGAGGCCAGGAGCGAACCAGCAGCAGGUCUUGAGAACCAGGUAACCUUUCUGUUCACACUUGAUGUGAUUUUUAAACUCAAGUCAGGCUCUGAUUCUGAAGGACUCGCUGUCAUUAAAUAUGUGUUCUGAUGUCUUAAGGCCAGAUGUGGUUAUUUUCCAGUUCCUUGGUUUUAGGUACCACACUUAGGACAUUUAGGAAGUAUUGGAAAAUAUAUGUUGGAGAAGCAGAAUUUUUUUUUAAUGAAGUCUUCUGGUACCGUGCUCCAUCUUCGUGUGACCUGUCCCUGGAGCCUGUGUGUCUUGGUUAUGGUGCAGCUUCUGGCUGCAGACAAGGUGACUCUUAAGGACAUGCAGUCUGUGUCCCACACACCUAGAGCAGAGCUUCUGUCUCAGUUGUUUCUGUCUCAGCAGUCACGCCAACUCAGGAGCCCAAGCACAGACUUAAAUGAAGUCUGCUAGUGAACGAAAGUGUUAGUUCAGUCUCAGUUACUUCUCCAGAUUUCUUUGGCUCAAGGUGGCUAUAGGAAAGUAAUAAGAACCCACUCUCUGACAGUCUGGAGGUGAUGAGGAAAGCAAAAGGACUUCAUCCUUCAGCUGUGUGCACCAGUGCUCACUUUACUGUACAAAUCAGCAUUAUUAAUGAAAGUACUAUUUUCCUGACAAAGGAAGCCAUACAUCUCACCUAGACUAAAAUGCAGCUUAAGUUUAAAAUUCUGAACUUAAUCACUAACUUCAAGAACAGUAUUAGCCAGGCGUGGUGGCGUAUGCCUGUAAUCCCAGCACUUGGGAAGCAGAGGCAGGAGGAUCAUCAUGAGUUCGAGGCCAGCCUACACUCCAUAGUGAGUUCAAGGCCAGCCUGAACUACAUAGUGAGACCCUGUCUCAAAAAAACAAAAAAUAGGGGCCGGGGAUUUAGCCCAGUGGCACUGUGCCUGCCUCGUAAGUGCAAGGUUCUGAGUUUGAUCCCCGGUACUGGGGAAAAAAAAUCAGUUAUUUUAAUAAUCAGUUAGUUUAAAGUUAUUAGGAUUGGAGAUACAGCUCAGUGGCAGAGCUUGUGCUUAGCAUGCAGAAGGUCCUAGGUUCCAUCCCAAGCACCAACAAAGUCACUUGCAUCUAUCUCCACACAGUAAACCAGGCACAUUUGUGGCCUCACAGCCACAUGUAUUUAGAUUUUUUUUUUGGUACUGGGGAUCGAACUUGGGUCCUUGCGCUUGUGAGGCAGGCGGCGGAACCACUGAGCUAAAUCCCCAGCCCCACAUGUAUUUAGAUUUUCAAAGUAACAGCGAAUCAUUUCUUAUUCUGAGACAGUAAUGACUUACCCAUGUAAAUUUUUUUUAAUCCACCUGCAACUUUACUAGAUCAGUAAGUAGACUAUUUAAAACACUACAACCAUUCUAAGCGUGGAAUAGAAUUUGCCAAGUGUUACUUAAGGACCACCCCUCAGACACAGGUCAACUAUUUGCAUGGCUUCCUGUUUCCUAUAAGAAAAAAUGAAUAGGAAUAUAAAACUAUUGCUGAUAUGCUGAUAUAUAAGCCUUAAAAUUGCCAACUGGCGUAAUGUUUAAUUAGUAACCUAAUUUCUUCAACAUGCCUUGAUUUUUAGAUUUAUGUUCCCAAAGCAAGGGUAAGUCACAGAAACAUGAACAUUCAUUUAAAAUGUUCUUAGUUGUUAUUCUGUUUCUACUGCCUAUAGAAUACUAAUUUCUACAAGAUACAGGAAAGUUACCAAACUCCUAAAUUCUAAUACAGUAAUACAAUUAAAGUAUUAUAGGAUUAAAAAAAAACCCCAACAACUCAAAAAUGACCCAGGAAACCAAGAUACAUCAUGUAAAGGUAUAAAUUCCCAAUGAUGAAUGUCAUAUUGUAUACCUAAAAUGUCCCGAUAAACUUAAUUUUUAAAAAACGACCCAAUUAAAUAAGAAAACCAAUGUAUUUUACUUCCCCAAACUGAUUUUAAGAUUGGCUGCAAUUCAAAAGAUAAAAAAAUAAAACUGAAUUAAUCUGAAUCUAGUUUUCUAAAGUAAUUAUGUAAGAAAUUUUAUGGUUAAGCCAUCAUUGGCAAUGUAUGCAAAGUUUAAAUGAAUGACAGAAAUCUUGAUAUGGAGACUAAUUGUGCUGUUUUGAGUAUACCUUAUUUCAGAAAGUGGUAUUUAGUAUUUUCUAUAUACACUGAAAUCAUGAACAUUUCACUUUUUCUAAGUCAAUUAUUUCAUAAGGAUUUUAUUAACGGAUAUUGGUAAAUAGAACUUUGGAAAUCUUAAUUCAGUAUUCUUACUAUACCCAAGGCUUUUGUAAGCUAUAGUUUUAUGUACAACCUUGUACAGUUUUUUGACAUACAAUUCAGAGUCUUGUUUAUUCUCUUGGACUUUGUUCUGGCCAAUACAUUUUUUUAAAAUCUUUAAGAAAAACUGUGAUUGUUUUAGUGAGUAUUUUUCUAAGUAAAUGAACACUUGUAUAAUGGUAUUUUAGAGAAUGCCAGAUAAGUGCAUGUUUUGAGUUUCUGUUUUUCUCAUCUCUUGUAUGUUUGUACAUAGCAUGGGACUGUAAUAAAACCAUCUUGGCAACUUAA